rnacentral:rRNA from 1 species
UGUAAGCGUAUAUUAAAGUUGUUGCGGUUAAAAAGCUCGUAGUUGGAUUUCUGUUGGGAACGACCGGUCCGCCCAUUGGGUGUGUAUCUGGCUUGUUCUCGGCAUCUUCUUGGUGAACGUUGCUGCACUUGACUGUGUGGAGCGCUACCCAGGACUUUUACUUUGAGGAAAUUAGAGUGUUUCAAGCAGGCAUAUGCCUUGAAUACAUUAGCAUGGAAUAAUAAGAUAGGACCUCGGUUCUAUUUUGUUGGUUUCUAGAGCUGAGGUAAUGAUUAAUAGGGAUAGUUGGGGGCAUUCGUAUUUAACUGUCAGAGGUGAAAUUCUUGGAUUUGUUAAAGGCGGACUACUGCGAAAGCAUUUGCCAAGGAUGUUUUCAUUGA